GCAGCCGCGGUAAUACGGAGGGUGCGAGCGUUAAUCGGAAAUUACUGGGCGUAAAGCGCAUGCAGGUGGUUUGUUAAGUCAGAUGUGAAAGCCCCGGGGCUCAACCUCGGAAUUGCAUUUGAAACUGGCAGACUAGAGUACUGUAGAGGGGGUAGAAUUUCAGGUGUAGCGGUGAAAUGCGUAGAGAUCUGAAGGAAUACCGGUGGCGAAGGCGGCCCCCUGGACAGAUACUGACACUCAGAUGCGAAAGCGUGGGGAGCAAACAGGAUUAGAUACCCUGUCGAG
rnacentral:rRNA from 1 species